AGGGCAUCUGGUGGAUGCCUCGGCGCUGAGAGGCGAUGAAGGACGUGGCACUCUGCGAUAAGCUGUGGGGAGGUGAGAGCAACCUUUGAUCCGCAGAUUUCCGAAUGGGGAAACCCACUCCGUAAGGAGUAUCCCGCAAGGGAGGCGAACCCGGGGAACUGAAACAUCUAAGUACCCGGAGGAAAGGACAUCAACCGAGACUCCGUUAGUAGUGGCGAGCGAACGCGGACCAGGCCUGUGGCAUUCAAGUAAGAACUGGAAGCACAUGGAAAGGUGCGCUGCAAAGGGUGAUAGCCCCGUACAGGUAGAAAUCUUGAAUGUCCUCGAGUAGGGCGGGACACGUGAAAUCCUGUCUGAACGUGGGGGGACCACCCUCCAAGCCUAAGUACUCCUCAGCGACCGAUAGUGAACCAGUACCGUGAGGGAAAGGUGAAAAGCACCCCGACGAGGGGAGUGAAAUAGAUCCUGAAACCGGAUGCCUACAAGCAGUUGGAGCCCGCAAGGGUGACAGCGUACCUCUUGCAUAAUGGGUCAGCGACUUAAUCUGGCAAGCAAGCUUAAGCCGAUAGGUGUAGGCGCAGCGAAAGCAAGUCUUAAUAGGGCGACUAAGUUUGUCGGAUUAGACCCGAAACCGAGUGAUCUAGAUAUGAGCAGGUUGAAGGUGCGGUAACACGCACUGGAGGACCGAACCCACGUAUGUUGAAAAAUGCGGGGAUGACUUGUGUCUAGGGGUGAAAGGCCAAUCAAACUCGGAAAUAGCUGGUUCUCCGCGAAAUCUAUUUAGGUAGAGCGUUGCGUGAAUACCCUCGGGGGUAGAGCACUGGAUGGGCUAUGGGGGCUUACCGCCUUACUGAUCCUAACCAAACUCCGAAUACCGAGGAGUACUACGCAGCAGACACACGGCGGGUGCUAAGGUCCGUCGUGGAAAGGGAAACAGCCCUGACCGCCAGCUAAGGUCCCUAAAUAGUGGCUAAGUGGGAAAGGAUGUGGGAGUGCAGUGACAACCAGGAGGUUGGCUUAGAAGCAGCCAUCCUUUAAAGAAAGCGUAACAGCUCACUGGUCAAGCGCUCCUGCGCCGAAGAUGUACCGGGGCUUAAGCCACUUACCGAAGCUGCGGGUGCACACUUUUGUGUGCGCGGUAGCGGAGCGUUCCGUAAGUCUGUGAAGGGUGACCCGCGAGGGCACCUGGAGAUAUCGGAAGUGAGAAUGCUGACAUGAGUAGCGACAAAGAGGGUGAGAGACCCUCUCGCCGUAAGUCCAAGGGUUCCUGCGUAAAGCUAAUCUGCGCAGGGUUAGCCGGCCCCUAAGGCGAGGCCGAAAGGCGUAGUCGAUGGGAACCAGGUGAAUAUUCCUGGGCCGGGAGAUGGUGACGAAUUCCGUAAGUUGUCAGUCCUUAUUGGAUUGGACUGGCAGUGAUGGAGUUCCAGGAAAUAGCCUCUCCAUUAGACCGUACCCUAAACCGACACAGGUGGACAGGUAGAGUAUACUAAGGCGCUUGAGAGAACGAUGCUGAAGGAACUCGGCAAAUUGCCCUCGUAACUUCGGGAGAAGAGGGCCCUGCCUUUGGGCAACCAUUGGCAGGGGGCACAGACCAGGGGGUAGCGACUGUUUACUAAAAACACAGGGCUCUGCGAAGUCGCAAGACGACGUAUAGGGUCUGACGCCUGCCCGGUGCCGGAAGGUUAAGAGGAGAGGUGCAAGCUUUGAAUCGAAGCCCCGGUAAACGGCGGCCGUAACUAUAACGGUCCUAAGGUAGCGAAAUUCCUUGUCGGGUAAGUUCCGACCUGCACGAAUGGCGUAACGACUUCCCCACUGUCUCCA
rnacentral:rRNA from 1 species